UUUAAAUUGAGAGUUUGAUCCUGGCUCAGGACGAACGCUGGCGGCGUGCCUAACACAUGCAAGUCGAGCGAUGAAACUUCCUUCGGGAAGUGGAUUAGCGGCGGACGGGUGAGUAACACGUGGGUAACCUGCCUCAAAGAGGGGGAUAGCCUCCCGAAAGGGAGAUUAAUACCGCAUAACAUUAUUUUAUGGCAUCAUAGAAUAAUCAAAGGAGUAAUCCGCUUUGAGAUGGACCCGCGGCGCAUUAGCUAGUU
rnacentral:rRNA from 1 species